rnacentral:rRNA from 1 species
GAUCCUGGCUCAGGACGAACGCUGGCGGCGCGCCUAACACAUGCAAGUCGAACGAGCGAGAGAGAGCUUGCUUUCUUGAGCGAGUGGCGAACGGGUGAGUAACGCGUGAGGAACCUGCCUCAAAGAGGGGGACAACAGUUGGAAACGACUGCUAAUACCGCAUAAGCCCACAGGUCGGCAUCGACCAGAGGGAAAAGGAGCAAUCCGCUUUGAGAUGGCCUAGCGUCCGAUUAG